AAAUGGCUGCGAAAACUCGCAGUACCACGACCCUGUCAGGCUGUUGAGAGGAAACGUGUCAAUGACCAAUCCUGGAAGAAAAGAUCACCCUCUCUAACUGAAGCUGAUGAUGAGUCUGCAGACUGUAUAACUAAUGACCA